rnacentral:rRNA from 1 species
ACAGCAGCCGCCACGGUAAUACGUAGGGUGCAAGCGUUAAUCGGAAUUACUGGGCGUAAAGCGUGCGCAGGCGGUGAGUUAAGUCUGCUGUGAAAUCCCCGGGCUCAACCUGGGAAUGGCAGUGGAUACUGGCUCGCUAGAGUGUGUCAGAGGAUGGUGGAAUUCCCGGUGUAGCGGUGAAAUGCGUAGAGAUCGGGAGGAACAUCAGUGGCGAAGGCGGCCAUCUGGGACAACACUGACGCUGAGGCACGAAAGCGUGGGGAGCAAACAGGAUUAGAUACCCGCGUAGUCCCUGUCUCUUAUAC